rnacentral:misc_RNA from 1 species
UUUCCGUAGGUGAACCUGCGGAAGGAUCAUUAUUGAAUAUGCUUGAUAGGUUGUAGCUGGCUCUUCGGAGUAUGUGCAGGCUUAUCUUGACUUAAUUCAUCCACCUGUGCACCUUUUGUAGUCUUGGGGGUUGAGAUCGGUCGACUAUCGGAUGGCCAAGGUCAUUCCGGAUGUGAGGAAUGCUGGGUGCGAAAGCAUACAGCUCUUCUCAAAUGACUUGUCUUCCUCGAGUACUAUGUAUUCAUAUACCACAUAGUAUGUUGUAGAAUGUGAUCAAUGGGUCUAUGUACCUAUAAUAGUCAUAUACAACUUUCAGCAACGGAUCUCUUGGCUCUC